UUAAGACACAUCCUUGGCCUCACCACGUACUUGGCAGAAGAAGAAUGAGGUACCCUCCUUACCUGAAACAACUGGGGACAGAAGACAUAGCUACAAGGCUCCAGACUGUUCCACAAAGGUGAAAUCUUUCAGAUGUAAAACCUGCCCAGUGAACUGGCCAAAGGAAUCUAUUACCAUAGGAUUUGCACAAGCCCUCUUCCCUGGGUGAAAGAGAAUGCGGACACAGAAGAACAUCAGGGGCUCUGGUAGAGGGAUGAUUGAGAAGAAGCAGCAAGAAGAUAACAGUCCACAAGCCAAGGAGUGGGCCCACAGAGGAAAUCAUCCCUGCUGGAGCCUUGAUGUUGGACUCCCAGCCUCCAGAACUUCUUCAGCUACCCAGCCUGUGGUGUUUGCUCUGGCACCGGAGCUGACUAAUUCAGCCAGGGAGCACCGAUGGUAGCCAGGGCAUCAGUAGGAGGACUUGGCAGGAUUAGAAAGAGCAGCUAUGUCCAAGCAGGAGGGAGUGACUUCAAUAUUUUAAUGACUUCUAUUCUGGGGCAUCCCGCUGAAUCAGCCCUGAGCAAGUGUGACAUAAAUCACAGGAAGGAAAGAUGGGCAGAACCUGUGCAGAAGAGACUUUGCAGAGUAACCAGAGACCUGUGUGGCAUUGUUAGAGGCAGGUGUAGGAGGUGUGAACAUUAGAUCUUCCAAAGAGUCCCCAAGGGCUCAUAUGACUUAUGGGAGGAAGCACGAAGACUUCCUGGUGAAAGUGGCAGGUUGAGUACAUAGUCUAGUUUAGUUUCCUGAACCAUCCAUUAAAACUACAGAAGAAGAACUUUUGCUUGUUUGUUUCUAAAGCACAAUCUAAUAAAGACAGGGAGAAUGGGAGCAGAGAUAACAGCAGCAUUUGAGCAGCUGACAGAAGCUGACAAAAGACUAGAAAGCAGAUCUUUAGUCAGUGGUGGAGAAAGCUGAGAGCCAUCACAGCCAUUUUCACUGUGGAAUCUAUGAAUAGUUCAGGAAUUAGCACUCCAGGUGUUGAAUCUCUGGAGCUCAGGAUGAGGAGCAAUUAGAUGCCCCAGAACCCCUACCUGGCUUUACAUUUUUGGGAGACUGUGCUCCUAUCAUACAUACAACUUUGCAGAAACUGGAGAAUUAUCUGUGGAAGAGAGGAGGGUAAGUAAGUGUUGAGCAGAGUUCCUCUGGAUUGAAAGGCACUGGGCACAGUUGCAGUAGGGCACCACUCGGAAUAUCAGGAUGCAAAGUAAAAUCUGCACACAGAAAGCAGAGACC